GAUGAACGCUGGCGGCGUGCCUAAUACAUGCCAGUCGAGCGAACAGAUGAGGAGCUUGCUCCUCUGACGUUAGCGGCGGACGGGUGAGUAACACGUGGAUAACCUACCUAUAAGACUGGGAUAACUUCGGGAAACCGGAGCUAAUACCGGAUAAUAUAUUGAACCGCAUGGUUCAAUAGUGAAAGACGGUUUUGCUGUCACUUAUAGAUGGAUCCGCGCCGCAUUAGCUAGUUGGUAAGGUAACGGCUUACCAAGGCAACGAUGCGUAGCCGACCUGAGAGAGUGAUCGGCCACACUGGAACUGAGACACGGUCCAGACUCCUACGGGAGGCAGCAGUAGAGAAUCUUCCGCAAUGGGCGAAAGCCUGAUGGAGCAACGCCGCGUGAGUGAUGAAGGUCUUCGGAUCGUAAAACUCUGUUAUUAGGGAAGAACAAAUGUGUAAGUAACUAUGCACGUCUUGACGGUACCUAAUCAGAAAGCCACGGCUAACUACGUG
rnacentral:rRNA from 1 species